GAUUUAUUCAUGAAAAUCAGUUGGAUUCAAUAUUCAAAGUGAAGGUCUUAAAAAAUUGUCAAAUAUCGGACCAGAGGCUAAGUUAAAGGAAAGGGUUAAAGUGCUUGAUGAUGGACAACAUCAUUUCUGUUGAAGAAAGAAGAUAUUCUGCAAAUCAACAACACACAUCCAAAAUACUUCAUAAUUGGUGGAAAGGAGGCUACAUCUAUUUCCAUUAUUUGGUUCAUUUACAUGCUCUGCAAACAUCCUGAGAUUCAAGAUAUGGUUGAAUAAGAAAUCAAAGAAGCAACAAACAUGAGAAACAAAUUCAAGAUAAGCUUCAUGUAACUUGGAACAAAACUCUCGCGAGUCUAUCCUGCAUCUCAGUGUGAUAGGGAUACGGAGCUAAUCCAUGAUCUAGCAGACUGCAGACUCGUAUUUGGUGCAACUAGACAAAUUGAAGUUAUACGAGGAUAAGUAAUGGACAAAUGUCUCAACAAGCCACACGCGUGGACAAAUGCUAUAGGCUGUCAAUUUCAAGGCAUCUUGGUGGUGGGAUAAGACUUUGGGACCAAUAGGUCUUGGGUUCGAUUCCCACAAAGGGGGUUUUCCCAUAUUUAUUGGGUUUCCUCCUGAAUUGGUGUAUAGGCAUUAUGCCUAAUGGAGAUGGAUAUGAUCGGGUGGUUCCGCUGGUGGCACGAUGAUACUCCAGUAGUCCGUCAGUGAUCCAAAUUUGCCGUUCAAAAAAAAAAAUUCAAGGAACUUAUAAUUGAUGAAGAAUUAAUGGAGAUUACCUCUGAUGGCAAGUUACCACUAAAGAGGAUUAUGGAACUAGCCUAUGAUGUCAAUUGUCAAGUUACCAUCUGAUGAAGAUUAAGGGAACUUACCAUUGAAGCGAGUUACCUCUAGUGAAGAUUGAUGAAGUCUCGCUAAUGAAGAAGAGAUGCCACGUGUUAGCCUAUCAUUUGACGAAGACAAUCUGUUGAGAGGAUGUUAUACAUAAAUCUCAAUUGUCUAUUCCGUACGUCUCAACAAGAAUAUAGAUAACAAGAAUAUAUAUACACGAGUUUGCAUUGAUAUUAUUAUCACUUGGACCCAUAGUUUAAUGUGUCAAGCAGUUGAGUGUGAAGUCGUGCAUGAACUUAUGUGUGCAAAUUCAGAGAAAAUUUGCUUUUGAUACUUUUGGUUUUCUAGCGCCAGAGGCUGUGGACCUACUUAGUCGAGUUCAAA